GCGCCUGUAGCUCAGCGGAUAGAGCAACGGACUUCUAAUCCGUGGGUCGGAGGUUCGAUCCCUCCCAGGCGUGCCA
rnacentral:tRNA from 1 species